AGUUCACGGUGAGGACACUUUUUAAGCAUCUCCUUGAAUCUUUCCCCAAGUUUCACUAAAUGUUUCAUCUUCAAACGGUUGACAAACAACAAUUUCAUUUUUGAAGAAU